rnacentral:misc_RNA from 1 species
GAUGAAGAACGCAGCGAAAUGCGAUAAGUAGUGUGAAUUGCAGAAUUCAGUGAAUCAUCGAAUCUUUGAACGCACAUUGCGCCCCUUAGUAUCCCGAGGGGCAUGCCUGUUCGAGCGUCAUUUCACCACUCAAGCCUGGCUUGGUGUUGGGCGACGUCCUCUUUGGGGACGCGCCUCGAAACGCUCGGCGGCGUGGCACCGGCUUUAAGCGUAGCAGAAUCUUUCGCUUUGGAAGUCGGGGCCCCGUCUGCCGGAAGACCUGCUCGCAAGGUUGACCUCGGAUCAGGCAGGGAUACCCGCUGAACUUAAGCAUAUCAAUAAGCGGAGGA